rnacentral:rRNA from 1 species
UUGUUGGUAAGGUAAAAGCUUACCAAGGCUUCGAUCAGUAGCUGGUCUGAGAGGACGACCAGCCACACUGGGACUGAGACACGGCCCAGACUCCUACGGGAGGCAGCAGUGGGGAAUUUUGGACAAUGGGGGCAACCCUGAUCCAGCCAUGCCGCGUGAGUGAAGAAGGCCUUCGGGUUGUAAAGCUCUUUCAGCCGGAACGAAACGGUUACGGUUAACACCCGUGACUACUGACGGUACCGGAAGAAGAAGCACCGGCUAACUACGUGCCAGCAGCCGCGGUAAUACGUAGGGUGCGAGCGUUAAUCGGAAUUACUGGGCGUAAAGCGUGCGCAGGUGGUUUUGUAAGUCAGAUGUGAAGGCCCCGGGCUCAACCUGGGAACUGCGUUUGAAACUACAAGACUAGAGUGUGGCAGAGGGGGGUGGAAUUCCGCGUGUAGCAGUGAAAUGCGUAGAGAUGUGGAGGAACACCGAUGGCGAAGGCAGCCCCCUGGGUCAACACUGACGCUCAGGCACGAAAGCAUGGGGAGCAAACAGGAUUAGAUACCCUGGUAGUCCAUGCCCUAAACGAUGUCAACUAGUUGUCGGGCCUUUACGGGCUUGGUAACGUAGCUAACGCGUGAAGUUGACCGCCUGGGGAGUACGAUCGCAAGAUUAAAACUCAAAUGAAUUGACGGGGACCCGCACAAGCGGUGGAUUAUGUGGAUUAAUUCGAUGCAACGCGAAAAACCUUACCUACCCUUGACAUGUAUCGAAGCCCGCAGAAAAGCGGGGGUGCCCGAAAGGGAACGAUAACACAGGUGCUGCAUGGCUGUCGUCAGCUCGUGUCGUGAGAUGUUGGGUUAAGUCCCGCAACGAGCGCAACCCUUGUCAUUAAUUGCCAUCAUUUAGUUGGGCACUUUAAUGAGACUGCCGG